rnacentral:rRNA from 1 species
AUUCCGGAGAGGGAGCCUGAGAAACGGCUACCACAUCCAAGGAAGGCAGCAGGCGCGCAAAUUACCCACUCCCGGCAAGGGGAGGUAGUGACGAAAAAUAACGAUGCGGGACUCUUUUGAGGCCCCGCAAUCGGAAUGAGUACACUCUAAUUAAUUUGACUCAACACGGGAAAACUUACCCGGCCCGGACACCGAAAAGGAUUGACAGAUUAAGAGCUCUUUCUUGAUUCGGUGGGUGGUGGUGCAUGGCCGUUCUUAGUUGGUGGAGCGAUUUGUCUGGUUAAUUCCGAUAACGAACGAGACUCUAGCCUACUUAAUAGAGAACCGAUUUCCUCUCGUCGGUUACUCUUCUUAGAGGGACAAGCGGCGUUUAGCCGCACGAGACAGAGCAAUAACAGGUCUGUGAUGCCCUUAGAUGUCCGGGGCCGCACGCGCGCUACACUGAAGGAAUCAGCGUGUGUUCACCCUGGCCGAAAGGUCUGGGUAACCCGUUGAACCUCCUUCGUGAUAGGGAUAGGGGCUUGUAACUAUUCCCCUUGAACGAGGAAUUCCCAGUAAGCGCGAGUCAUAAGCUCGCGUUGAUUACGUCCCUGCCCUUUGUACACACCGCCCGUCGCUACUACCGAUUGAAUGAUUUAGUGAGGUCUUCGGACUGGUGCUCGGAGCGGCCCUCGGGUCGCGCCGGCGUACCGGAAAAGAUGACCAAACUUGAUCAUUUUA